GGGUGGUAAUGCCGGAUGCUCCAUCACACUGCAUGGUGUGUUGGGAAAGCCUUUGCGGCAUGGGAUGGGGUCGCGUCCUAUCAGCUUGAUGGCGGGGUAACGGCCCACCAUGGCUUCGACGGGUAGCCGGCCUGAGAGGGCGACCGGCCACAUUGGGACUGAGAUACGGCCCAGACUCCUACGGGAGGCAGCAGUGGGGAAUAUUGCACAAUGGGCGCAAGCCUGAUGCAGCGACGCCGCGUGAGGGAUGGAGGCCUUCGGGUUGUAAACCUCUUUUGUUAGGGAGCAAGGCAUUUUGUGUUGAGUGUACCUUUCGAAUAAGCACCGGCUAACUACGUGCCAGCAGCCGCGGUAAUACGUAGGGUGCAAGCGUUAUCCGGAAUUAUUGGGCGUAAAGGGCUCGUAGGCGGUUCGUCGCGUCCGGUGUGAAAGUCCAUCGCUUAACGGUGGAUCCGCGCCGGGUACGGGCGGGCUUGAGUGCGGUAGGGGAGACUGGAAUUCCCGGUGUAACGGUGGAAUGUGUAGAUAUCGG
rnacentral:rRNA from 1 species